UACGUAGGGGGCAAGCGUUGUCCGGAUUUAUUGGGCGUAAAGAGCGUGUAGGCGGCCUGACAAGUCUGCUGUGAAAACUCGAGGCUCAACCUCGAGACGCCGGUGGAAACCAUCGGGCUAGAGUCCGGAAGAGGAGAGUGGAAUUCCUGGUGUAGCGGUGAAAUGCGCAGAUAUCAGGAAGAACACCCGUGGCUAAGGCGGCUCUCUAGUACGGUACUGACGCUGAGACGCGAAAGCGUGGGGAGCGAACAGG
rnacentral:rRNA from 1 species